GUCCCUGUGGAGCAAUAAAGAGCGUGUUGGACUUCUAUUCCAAAGGUUGAGGGUUCGAAUCCCACCUGGGAUG